CUCGCGGACUUUUUUUUUUUUUUCCUUCUUCUUCCAUGAUAUGAACUUUUUUUUUUAAGGCCCCCACCCCUUCGAGUGAACGCUCUUCCGUCUCUUUUCUUGCUGAAGCUGCAGAUGUACAUUCUGGAAGUGUGAAAAAAGCUAAUUAAACGGCGGAGGCUCGGCGGGGAGGCAGGGAAGGCCCCGCCAGCACACCGGCUGAUUGAUUUGCACUGUCACACGGCUCUGCUGGGUGUCAUAACUUAGUGACAAAUCAAGGAUUACAGUGGCCCAGAGUAACUCUCUCCUUUGUUGUGCGGCAGACAUCAAAGCCGCCAGACAUAUUCGUGUUUCUCAUAAGUAGUUAAGUCAGGAGCAGCUUCCAGUUUAGAAUUUGUGUACAACUGAAGGGGGGGGAGAAAAAAAAAAAAAACACCCUCCCCCACCAAUGAUCCGUUGGAUUAAAAAAAAGAAAACAACAGCAAAGCUAAGCAAAUGAAAUGAAACAGAGCCCAGGUGGUGGGAGCGGGUUCUUCGCAGGGGUUGCUAGAGGUUUUGCAUUAUUUGUCUAAGCCUCACAGAGGCCUGUGGGGCAAGGCUCACCGUCUGGAAAUUAGGUUUUCAGGGGGUGGGUUUAGAAAUGACGGUAAACGCUUCAGUUCUGGGGGGCUUCAUCAGCAAAGCGCUUUAAUUUUAAUCAGCGCAGGAGGAGGCUGGGGGGGGUCACGGUGUUGCGUUUGAGGGUGAAUAUCGGAUUCCCCGACAAUUCGGGUCAUCAAAUGAUCGGGGCAGCUCACCUUAUCUGGAAGGUCCACAGAUCCCUGAAGACAGCUGUAGCCGACGCCGGUUUUUCUCUAAGUAUUUACCUUUAGCAACAGAGCAGAGACCUGCGAAUCAGAGCAAGGUGGGAAGAAGGCAAUUCGUUCCUGCUGUAAUGCAGUUAUUACCCUGUAACGUGCAUGGCUUCUCCAGGGCAUUAUGCACGUCAAUCAGAAAAUGGAGGUGAGGAAAGAAGCCAUCGUCCCACGUGUGUUGAGAAGUUGGCAUGGAUAAAGGAAAGCUAUCAUGGAAUCACCUCCGUGGGCACCCCCGGACAGAUGUGACUCUCCAGAAGCCCUUGCAUUGAACUUCACCUUGGUCUACGUUGUGUAUAAAACCCAUGUGGGGCAAAGAGUGGCCUUGAUUUUCCUUCAUGUGUAUGUAUGACUCUAGAUGUUCCUGUUUGUAUCCUGAUGAGCAAAACCAAGACAAACAGAAAUCACAGUCGUAGAUUCCAUUUUUAUGGUUACAAAUAAAAUGAUGGGAUCAGGCUAUAAGAAAGAAG
rnacentral:lncRNA from 9 species